rnacentral:rRNA from 1 species
GAUGAACGCUGGCGGCGUGCUUAACACAUGCAAGUCGAGCGAAGCGUCUUUUGAUUUCUUCGGAUUGAAGGAGUGACUGAGCGGCGGACGGGUGAGUAACGCGUGGGGAACCUGCCCCAUACCGGGGGAUAACAGUUGGAAACGACUGCUAAUACCGCAUAAGCGCACAGGAAGGCAUCUUCCAGUGUAGAAAAACUCCGGUGGUAUGGGAUGGACCCGCGUUGGAUUAGCCAGUUGGUGGGGUAACGGCCUACCAAAGCGACGAUCCAUAGCCGGCCUGAGAGGGCGACCGGCCACAUUGGGACUGAGACGCGGCCCAAACUCC